rnacentral:rRNA from 1 species
UACGAAGGGGGCUAGCGUUGUGCGGAAUCACUGGGCGUAAAGGGCGCGUAGGCGGCUUUAUAAGUCGGGGGUGAAAGCCUGUGGCUCAACCACAGAAUUGCCUUCGAUACUGUAGAGCUUGAGACCGGAAGAGGUAAGUGGAACUGCGAGUGUAGAGGUGAAAUUCGUAGAUAUUCGCAAGAACACCAGUGGCGAAGGCGGCUUACUGGUCCGGUUCUGACGCUGAGGCGCGAAAGCGUGGGGAGCAAACAGG